AAAAUUAGCGGAUGACUUGUGGCUGGGGGUGAAAGGCCAAUCAAACCGGGAGAUAGCUGGUUCUCCCCGAAAGCUAUUUAGGUAGCGCCUCGUGAAUUCAUCUCCGGGGGUAGAGCACUGUUUCGGCAAGGGGGUCAUCCCGACUUACCAACCCGAUGCAAACUGCGAAUACCGGAGAAUGUUAUCACGGGAGACACACGGCGGGUGCUAACGUCCGUCGUGAAGAGGGAAACAACCCAGACCGCCAGCUAAGGUCCCAAAGUCAUGGUUAAGUGGGAAACGAUGUGGGAAGGCCCAGACAGCCAGGAUGUUGGCUUAGAAGCAGCCAUCAUUUAAAGAAAGCGUAAUAGCUCACUGGUCGAGUCGGCCUGCGCGGAAGAUGUAACGGGGCUAAACCAUGCACCGAAGCUGCGGCAGCGACACUAUGUGUUGUUGGGUAGGGGAGCGUUCUGUAAGCCUGUGAAGGUGGCCUGUGAGGGUUGCUGGAGGUAUCAGAAGUGCGAAUGCUGACAUAAGUAACGAUAAAGCGGGUGAAAAGCCCGCUCGCCGGAAGACCAAGGGUUCCUGUCCAACGUUAAUCGGGGCAGGGUGAGUCGACCCCUAAGGCGAGGCCGAAAGGCGUAGUCGAUGGGAAACAGGUUAAUAUUCCUGUACUUGAUGUUACUGCGAAGGGGGGACGGAGAAGGCUAUGUUGGCCGGGCGACGGUUGUCCCGGUUUAAGCGUGUAGGCUGGUUUUCCAGGCAAAUCCGGAAAAUCAAGGCUGAGGCGUGAUGACGAGGCACUACGGUGCUGAAGCGACAAAUGCCCUGCUUCCAGGAAAAGCCUCUAAGCAUCAGGUAACAUCAAAUCGUACCCCAAACCGACACAGGUGGUCAGGUAGAGAAUACCAAGGCGCUUGAGAGAACUCGGGUGAAGGAACUAGGCAAAAUGGUGCCGUAACUUCGGGAGAAGGCACGCUGAUAUGUAGGUGAAGCGACUUGCUCGUGGAGCUGAAAUCAGUCGAAGAUACCAGCUGGCUGCAACUGUUUAUUAAAAACACAGCACUGUGCAAACACGAAAGUGGACGUAUACGGUGUGACGCCUGCCCGGUGCCGGAAGGUUAAUUGAUGGGGUUAGCGGUAACGCGAAGCUCUUGAUCGAAGCCCCGGUAAACGGCGGCCGUAACUAUAACGGUCCUAAGGUAGCGAAAUUCCUUGUCGGGUAAGUUCCGACCUGCACGAAUGGCGUAAUGAUGGCCAGGCUGUCUCCACCCGAGACUCAGUGAAAUUGAACUCGCUGUGAAGAUGCAGUGUACCCGCGGCAAGACGGAAAGACCCCGUGAACCUUUACUAUAGCUUGACACUGAACAUUGAGCCUUGAUGUGUAGGAUAGGUGGGAGGCUUUGAAGUGUGGACGCCAGUCUGCAUGGAGCCGACCUUGAAAUACCACCCUUUAAUGUUUGAUGUUCUAACGUUGGCCCCUUACCGGGGUUGCGGACAGUGUCUGGUGGGUAGUUUGACUGGGGCGGUCUCCUCCUAAAGAGUAACGGAGGAGCACGAAGGUUGGCUAAUCCUGGUCGGACAUCAGGAGGUUAGUGCAAUGGCAUAAGCCAGCUUGACUGCGAGCGUGACGGCGCGAGCAGGUGCGAAAGCAGGUCAUAGUGAUCCGGUGGUUCUGAAUGGAAGGGCCAUCGCUCAACGGAUAAAAGGUACUCCGGGGAUAACAGGCUGAUACCGCCCAAGAGUUCAUAUCGACGGCGGUGUUUGGCACCUCGAUGUCGGCUCAUCACAUCCUGGGGCUGAAGUAGGUCCCAAGGGUAUGGCUGUUCGCCAUUUAAAGUGGUACGCGAGCUGGGUUUAGAACGUCGUGAGACAGUUCGGUCCCUAUCUGCCGUGGGCGCUGGAGAACUGAGGGGGGCUGCUCCUAGUACGAGAGGACCGGAGUGGACGCAUCACUGGUGUUCGGGUUGUCAUGCCAAUGGCACUGCCCGGUAGCUAAAUGCGGAAGAGAUAAGUGCUGAAAGCAUCUAAGCACGAAACUUGCCCCGAGAUGAGUUCUCCCUGAGUCUUUGAGUGUCCUGAAGGAACGUUGAAGACGACGACGUUGAUAGGCCGGGUGUGUAAGCGCAGCGAUGCGUUGAGCUAACCGGUACUAAUGAACCGUGAGGCUUAACCUU
rnacentral:rRNA from 1 species